AUUGAACGCUGGCGGCAUGCUUUACACAUGCAAGUCGAACGGCAGCACGGGUGCUUGCACCUGGUGGCGAGUGGCGGACGGGUGAGUAAUACAUCGGAACGUGUCCAGAAGAGGGGGAUAACGCAUCGAAAGAUGUGCUAAUACCGCAUAUGCUCUGAGGAGGAAAGUGGGGGAUCGAAAGACCUUACGCUUUUGGAGCGGCCGAUGUCUGAUUAGCUAGUUGGUGGGGUAAGGGCCUACCAAGGCGACGAUCAGUAGUUGGUCUGAGAGGACGACCAGCCACACUGGGACUGAGACACGGCCCAGACUCCUACGGGAGGCAGCAGUGGGGAAUUUUGGACAAUGGGCGCAAGCCUGAUCCAGCAAUGCCGCGUGAGUGAAGAAGGCCUCGGUUGUAAAGUACGUCUUUCUAGUCAGGAACGAAACGGUA
rnacentral:rRNA from 1 species